rnacentral:lncRNA from 1 species
AGCUUUGAAACUUUAUCGAUCUCUUUUUACUUGACCUUACAAUUUUGCCUUAUGCACUUGCAGAUAGCUUUGCCUUUUUCUCAGCUGAUCCUAUUGAAGUUCCUUCCCUUUUCUUAGCUCUUUUCUUCUCAUCACAUUACAUUUUGUCCACAGGCUUCUUAAAUGUCUCCAAGAAUUUUGGAUCGUUCCAAGCCUCAGUAUUAAACACUUGACGAAAUACCAACUCUCCGAAGUUAAAUUUCAAAG